rnacentral:rRNA from 1 species
CGUCAGAUAUUGUCAUGCUCGAAAGAGUGAACUAGCUAACUGAAUUCACAAAUGUGUCAUUUGUGAUAAGGUAAGAGAAAAUAAUGAUAUUAUCUUACUAACUAAGUGUCGUCUAAAACUGGUGCCAGAAGACUCGGUAAGGCCAGAGACGCAAACGUUAGUCGUCAUAAUCAGGCGUAAAGGGUUUGUAGGCUGCUUUAAACUUCAUAAAUAUAAGCUAUAUUAAUUUAUGACAAAUUAAAGCUAGAAUCUAAUGUAGGGUAACCUAAAUAAUAUUAUAUUUAGUGAUAAAAUAUAAACAAAUAUGGUAGAGUACUAAAGGUGAAAACUAUUUAUCUAUUUAAGAUUGACGCUGAGAAACGAAGGAGAGGAACGAAAACAGGAUUAGAGACCCAAUUAUCCCUCUCAGUCAACGAUGAAUGGUAGUUAUUAGUUUAUCUAAUUUAUUUUAUUAAAUAAAAAUAUUUAAUAAGUUAUUGAAUUAAAAACUGGUAACGAUGUUAACACGAUAACCAUUCCGCCUUGUGAGUACGACUGCAAAGUUGAAAACAAAAAAAUUAGUCGGUCUUGAAGCAAACGAAGUGAAGCAU